AAGUCGUAACAAGGUUUCCGUAGGUGAACCUGCGGAAGGAUCAUUACCGAACUGUCAAACACGGGUUGUUGCUGGCCCUCGGACGGGGGCACGUGCACGCUCUGUUUACACAUCCACUUCACACCUGUGCACCCUCUGUAGUUCCAUGGUCUGGGGACCCCGUCCUCCCUCUGGGGUUCUAUGUUUUUACACACACGCCGUAACGAUGUCUUGUGGAAUGCUUUCUGCGUUUAACGCGAUAUAAUACAACUUUCAGCAACGGAUCUCUUGGCUCUCGCAUCGAUGAAGAACGCAGCGAAAUGCGAUAAGUAAUGUGAAUUGCAGAAUUCAGUGAAUCAUCGAAUCUUUGAACGCACCUUGCGCCCCUCGGCCAUUCCUUGGGGCAUGCCUGUUUGAGUAUCAUGAACACCUCAACUCUCACGGUUCGCCGUGAAGAGCUUAGAUCUGGGGGUUUGCUGGCCAUGCGGCCUGCUCCCCUCAAAUGAAUCANCUUGCCAGUGUCUGGUGGCGUCAUGGGUGUGAUAACCAUCUACGCUCACGUCCGUCUGCCGGGUAACCUUCAUCACUGGAGGUUCGCUGGAGCUUACAAACGUCUCUNCUUGGUGGAGACACCUUUUGAACGUUCGAUCUCAAAUCAGGUAGGACUACCCGCUGAACUUAA
rnacentral:rRNA from 1 species